rnacentral:rRNA from 1 species
CGGGUAGAGUAACGCGUGAAUAACCUGACUCAAAGAGGGGGAGUAACAACGGGAAACUGUUGCUAAUACCGCAUGAGACCACAACACCGCAUGAUGAAGGGGUCAAAGAUUUAUCGCUUUGAGAGGGGUUCGCGUCCCAUUAGGUAGUUGGAGGGGUAACGGCCCACCAAGCCAACGAUGGGUAGCCGAGCUGAGAGGCUGAUCGGCCACACUGGAACUGAGACACGGUCCAG